rnacentral:rRNA from 1 species
AUUGAACGCUGGCGGAAUGCUUUACACAUGCAAGUCGAACGGCAGCACGGACUUCGGUCUGGUGGCGAGUGGCGAACGGGUGAGUAAUGUAUCGGAACGUGCCCAGUCGUGGGGGAUAACGUAGUGAAAAUUACGCUAAUACCGCAUACGAUCUAUGGAUGAAAGCGGGGGAUCGCAAGACCUCGCGCGAUUGGAGCGGCCGAUAGCAGAUUAGGUAGUUGGUGGGGGAAAGGCCCACCAAGCCAACGAUCUGGAGCUGGUCUGAGAGGACGACCAGCCACACUGGAACUGAGACACGGUCCAGACUCCUACGGGAGGCAGCAGUGGGGAAUUUUGGACAAUGGGCGAAAGCCUGAUCCAGCCAUUCCGCGUGCAGGAUGAAGGCCCUCGGGUUGUAAACUGCUUUUGUACAGAACGAAAAGGUUUCUACUAAUACUAGGAGCUCAUGACGGUACUGUAAGAAUAAGCACCGGCUAACUACGUGCCAGCCGCCGCGGUAA